AUACGGAGGAUCCGAGCGUUAUCCGGAUUUAUUGGGUUUAAAGGGUGCGCAGGCGGCCAUUUAAGUCAGCGGUUAAAUCGUGGGGCUCAACCCCAUUCUGCCGUUGAUACUGGGUGGCUUGAUUGCGGUCGAGGUUGGCGGAAUUCGUUGUGUAGCGGUGAAAUGCAUAGAUAUGACGAAGAACACCGAUUGCGUAGGCAGCUGACCAGACCGCAAAUGACGCUCAUGCACGAAAGUGCGGGGAUCGAACAGGAUUAGAUACCCUGGUAGUCCGCACAGUAAACGAUGAAUACUUGUUUCGGCGAUAUAAUGUCGGAGGCAAAGCGAAAGCGAUAAGUAUUCCACCUGGGGAGUACGCCGGCAACGGUGAAACUCAAAGGAAUUGACGGGG
rnacentral:rRNA from 1 species